rnacentral:rRNA from 1 species
AAACUGUCUUAAAAAUAAUUUAUUGAAAUUAAUUUUUUAAUCAAAAAGUUAAGAUAUAUUAAAAAGACGAGAAGACCCUAUAGAGUUUUAUAUUAAUUUAAAUUUUAAUUAUAUGUAAAUAUAAUAAUUAUAAAUUAAAAUUAAUAUUUUAUUGGGGUGAUAAAAAAAUAAGAAAAACUUUUUUUUAAGAUAACCAUAAAUAAGUGAUUUGUUGAUCCAAUUAUAUUGAUUAAAAGAAAAAAUUACCUUAGGGAUAACAGCGUAAUUUUUUUUUUUA